AUGAACGCUAGCUACAGGCUUAACACAUGCAAGUCGAGGGGCAUCAGUUUGGUUUGCUUGCAAACCAAAGCUGGCGACCGGCGCACGGGUGAGUAACACGUAUCCAACCUGCCUCAUACUCGGGGAUAGCCUUUCGAAAGAAAGAUUAAUAUCCGAUAGCAUAUAUUUCCCGCAUGGGUUUUAUAUUAAAGAAAUUCGGUAUGAGAUGGGGAUGCGUUCCAUUAGUUUGUUGGCGGGGUAACGGCCCACCAAGACUACGAUGGAUAGGGGUUCUGAGAGGAAGGUCCCCCACAUUGGAACUGAGACACGGUCCAAACUCCUACGGGAGGCAGCAGUGAGGAAUAUUGGUCAAUGGACGCGAGUCUGAACCAGCCAAGUAGCGUGAAGGAUGACUGCCCUAUGGGUUGUAAACUUCUUUUAUAUGGGAAUAAAGUGGUCCACGUGUGGAUUUUUGUAUGUACCAUAUGAAUAAGGAUCGGCUAACUCCGUGCCAGCAGCCGCGGUAAUACGGAGGAUCCGAGCGUUAUCCGGAUUUAUUGGGUUUAAAGGGAGCGUAGGCGGAUUGUUAAGUCAGUUGUGAAAGUUUGCGGCUCAACCGUAAAAUUGCAGUUGAUACUGGCAGUCUUGAGUGCAGUAGAGGUGGGCGGAAUUCGUGGUGUAGCGGUGAAAUGCUUAGAUAUCACGAAGAACUCCGAUUGCGAAGGCAGCUCACUGGAGUGUAACUGACGCUGAUGCUCGAAAGUGUGGGUAUCAAACAGGAUUAGAUACCCUGGUAGUCCACACAGUAAACGAUGAAUACUCGCUGUUUGCGAUAUACAGUAAGCGGCCAAGCGAAAGCAUUAAGUAUUCCACCUGGGGAGUACGCCGGCAACGGUGAAACUCAAAGGAAUUGACGGGGGCCCGCACAAGCGGAGGAACAUGUGGUUUAAUUCGAUGAUACGCGAGGAACCUUACCCGGGCUUAAAUUGCAAAUGAAUUAUGGGGAAACCCAUACGCCGCAAGGCAUUUGUGAAGGUGCUGCAUGGUUGUCGUCAGCUCGUGUCGUGAGAUGUUGGGUUAAGUCCCGCAACGAGCGCAACCCUUAUUGCCAGUUACUACGCAAGAGGACUCUGGCGAGACUGCCGUUGACAAAACGGAGGAAGGUGGGGAUGACGUCAAAUCAUCAUGCCCUUUAUGACUUGGGCUACACACGUACUACAAUGGCGUUAAACAAAGAGAAGCAAGACCGCGAGGUGGAGCAAAACUCAGAAACAACGUCCCAGUUCGGACUGCAGGCUGCAACUCGCCUGCAUGAAGUCGGAAUUGCUAGUAAUCGCGGAUCAGCAUGCCGCGGUGAAUACGUUCCCGGGCCUUGUACACACCGCCCGUCAAGCCAUGAAAGCCGGGGGUACCUGAAGUCCGUAACCGUAAGGAGCGGCCUAGGGUAAAACUGGUAAUUGGGGCU
rnacentral:rRNA from 1 species